rnacentral:rRNA from 1 species
GACGGAGGAUGCAAGUGUUAUCCGGAAUCACUGGGCGUAAAGCGUCUGUAGGUGGUCAAAUAAGUCAACUGUUAAAUCUUGAGGCUUAACCUCAAAAUCGCAGUCGAAACUAUUAGACUAGAGUAUAGUAGGGGUAAAGGGAAUUUCCAGUGGAGCGGUGAAAUGCGUAGAGAUUGGAAAGAACACCAGUGGCGAAGGCGACUUACUGGACACAUAUUGACGCUGAGGUGCGAAAGCGUGGGGAGCAAACAGG